rnacentral:rRNA from 1 species
AAAAAACAACUUUCAACAACGGAUCUCUUGGCUCUCGCAUCGAUGAAGAACGCAGCGAAAUGCGAUAAGUAAUGUGAAUUGCAGAAUUCAGUGAAUCAUCGAAUCUUUGAACGCACCUUGCGCUCCUUGGUAUUCCGAGGAGCAUGCCCGUUUGAGUGUCGUGAAACCAUCAAACCCUCCAAGGUUUUUCUAACCUUGAGAGAGGCUUGGAAUUGAGGGUCCUUGCCGGGUUCGUCAAGAGUCGGGCUCCCUCGAAAGUCAUUGGCUUGUGAUACCUCCGAUGCUGAAUGGCGUGAUAGGCAAUAUCUACGUCUGGAGCUGGAAGGGGCACGAACGAGCCUUCUCUUCAAGUCCUUUGAGACUUCUUUCUCUUUUGACCUCAAAUCGGGUAGGACUACCCGCUGAACUUAAGCAUAUCAAUAAGCGGAGGA